rnacentral:rRNA from 1 species
CCUACGUGAGGCAGCAGUGGGGAAUAUUGCACAAUGUGGGAAACCCUGAUGCAGCGACGCCGCGUGAGUGAAGCAGUAAUUCGUUAUGUAAAGCUCUAUCAGCAGGGAAGACAAUGACGGUACCUGAGUAAGAAGCCCCGGCUAACUACGUGCCAGCAGCCGCGGUAAUACGUAGGGGGCACACGUUAUCCGGAUUUCCUGUGUGUAAAGGGAGCGUAGACGGCAGUGCAAGUCUGGAGGGAAAGGCGGGGGCUCAACCCCCGGACUGCUCUGGAAACUGUACGGCUGGAGUGCAGGAGAGGUAAGUGGAAUUCCUAGUGUAGCGGUGAAAUGCGUAGAUAUUAGGAGGAACACCAGUGGCGAAGGCGGCUUACUGGACUGUAACUGACGUUGAGGCUCGAAAGCGUGGGGAGCAAACAGGAUUAGAUACCCGAGUAGUC